UUUCGCAUAUUGAUAUUCCGUGUUUUAUAAUAAACCUUGUUGUUGUAAUGGCGAACCGAUUAGCUUGUCUGUUCUGUGACCUGCUCUACAGGAAUGGCUCUGCAUUAGUCCCUCACGACAUUAUAUCUGGCGACGAGGAUAUUCGAUGCUGAACUAUCAUCAGUUAUAGUCUGAAUGGACCUCAUCCAGACGUGAGUCGUCGUUGAUAGAGGGAAGUACAUCCGGACAAACACGGACAGAAGCUUAUAUGACGUAUCUGGCCCGAUUGAAACAGCAACACGACGC